rnacentral:rRNA from 1 species
GACGAACGCUGGCGGCGUGCCUAAUACAUGCAAGUAGAACGCACAGUUUAUACCGUAGCUUGCUACACCAUAGACUGUGAGUUGCGAACGGGUGAGUAACGCGUAGGUAACCUGCCUGGUAGCGGGGGAUAACUAUUGGAAACGAUAGCUAAUACCGCAUAAUAUUAAUUAUUGCAUGAUAAUUAAUUGAAAGGUGCAAUUGCACCACUACCAGAUGGACCUGCGUUGUAUUAGCUAGUAGGUGAGGUAACGGCUCACCUAGGCGACGAUACAUAGCCGACCUGAGAGGGUGGUCGGCCACACUGGGACUGAGACACGGCCCAGACUCCUACGGGAGGCAGCAGUAGGGAAUCUUCGGCAAUGGGCGAAAGUCUGACCGAGCAACGCCGCGUGAGUGAAGAAGGUUUUCGGAUCGUAAAGCUCUGUUGUAAGAGAAGAACGGGUGUGAGAGUGGAAAGUUCACACUGUGACGGUAUCUUACCAGAAAGGGACGGCUAACUACGUG